rnacentral:piRNA from 1 species
UGUGUGUGUGAAUAUCAGAAGGUGU